UACGUAGGCAGCAAGCGUUGUUCGGAGUUACUGGGCGUAAAGGGAGCGUAGGUGGCCUUAUAAGUCAGCGGUGAAAUCUCUGGGCUUAACCCAGAAAUUGCCAUUGAUACUGUAGGGCUUGAGUACAGUUGCUGUGGGCGGAAUAUGACAUGUAGUGGUGAAAUACAUAGAGAUGUCAUAGAACACCGAUUGCGAAGGCAGCUCACAAAACUGUAACUGACACUGAGGCUCGAAAGUGCGGGGAUCAAACAGG
rnacentral:rRNA from 1 species